AAUAAAUACUUCAAAAGCAGAAGCAGGAACUCUUCUUUAACAAAACAAUAUACUUUAAUUAUAGAAAGCCUUGGUUCCCAAGGCCUUAGUUUUAGCCAUACUAGGAAUGAUUUCAGAUCUUAGUUGUGUGGGCUGAUCUGGUCUCCAUGGUAAUGAAAAAGUCAGCCUGGGAAGUGGAAAGAACUAUGGUACAUUGCUCCCCAUAGAAACUGCCAAGCUGAAAUCAAAUGCAGCUUCUGUAUUUAGCAUGGACAAAGCCUGAAGCUCCAGUCAACUGGUACUUUACCUCAGGAGUUGCCAUGGCAACCUGCUAAAAAAGAAAUUGAAGAGUGAUUUUAUGUCAUCAGUGGAAAUAUUGUUGAUGUUUACAAAAUCGUUCAGUGAGAAGAAAACACAAAGUUGAAUAUGGACCAUACAGGAAAGAAACAUGAUUUAAAAACUCCAGCAUGGGCAUAUGGAACAACCCUGGCCAGUGAUAUCUGGGAAUACGCCUGCUGGAGGGAUCUAGACAAAGUUGCCCUUGAUGUUACAAAAAGGACUAAUAAUAAAGUCUGGUCUUUGGCUUUUUGGAUGCUGUCUUAUGAGAAAUGAUGUGUGGAACUGUUGGCAUUAAAAAAAUUAACUGAGAUUUCUGACAUUUAGAGAGCCAUGAAAUUUACCCUAGAAUAGUCCCAUAUCUGAACUUCCUAUAAGUUAAUGACUUUCCUCAUCAAUUGAGAGAGGUGUGAUUUAAAAAAUCCAGACUCUAAGCAAUAUAAGAAUGAUAUCAAAUCCUCUGUGUUUAAUGGCUCUCUAACAGUAAUUUUUUCAAAAUGACAAUAUGAUUUUAAGAGAAUAUUUACUGCUUUCUAGAUUUUUUUUCUGCAUUUUUCUUUAUGUAUAUGUUAAUUACAUAACUAGUCAAGGAUGGCACCUUAAACUUCAUAAAAGUGACAUAUUUAAGUUUUUCUGCCAUUUAUUCUGACUUUAUCACAUGCCUUUUUAUUCCCAUUGUUAUAUCCCUCUUCAUUCAUGUACUCCCUUUAAACUUGAACUAGAGUUUUAGAUAUUAUUGAUUAUACUCUUCCAAUUUCUUUGUAUUGUGUACAGUUUACUUUGAAAAUAAAAAAAUGAUGAAAAGUGCUGCAGUAUUUUUAUUUAUUUUCAACUUGUUCAU